rnacentral:ribozyme from 1 species
UGCCCAGACACUCCUAUCCCUGCCUCCUCGCGGUACUGGCCGGGGUACGAGUAAUCACAGGGAAGA